CGCGUAGGCGGCUUGGCAAGUCAGAUGUGAAAGCCCCGGGCUUAACUCGGGAGUUGCAUCUGAAACUGCUUUGCUUGAGUCCUGGAGGGGGUAGUGGAAUUCCCAGUGUAGCGGUGAAAUGCGUAGAUAUUGGGAGGAACACCUGCGGCGAAGGCGGCUACCUGGACAGUGACUGACGCUGAUGCGCGAAAGCUAGGGGAGCGAACGGGAUUAGAUACCCCGGUAGUCCUAGCCGUAAACGAUGGGCACUUGGUGUUGGGGGUAUUGAGUCCCCCGGUGCCGGAGUUAACACGUUAAGUGCCCCGCCUGGGGAGUACGGUCGCAAGACUGAA
rnacentral:rRNA from 1 species